GUUCUUGUUCUUGCUUGUGUGCAGGUUCUGUCUGGCUUCAAGGUCGCCAUUGACGAAGUGGUGGAGCUUGAGGCUCUGCACGUGCAUAGCCUAUUGAGGACAUUGCUCUGCUGUUUUGCCGACAUUAGUAAUUCGCGUUUAUCGCGUAGGCUCAUAAAAGAGCUAAGGAACGUGGAUAGCGGGGCUCCAGUUCUACUAAUAAGCAGUGCGCGUGCGUGUAUGUCUGCUGGCACCUUCACGAGUGAGUGACCUUUCGGUUCCACUUCCGGUAAGUCCUCCACCCUCCACGGACCUGUACCCGCACGCACCCAGUAGCGGGGAAGACCUACCGGCUAAUGUUAUACC